rnacentral:rRNA from 1 species
UACGAAGGGUGCUAGCGUUAUUCGGAAUAACUGGGCGUAAAGAGCGUGUCGGCGGUCCGUUAAGUCAACUGUAAAGAGCUCGGCUUAACCGAGUAAAUGCGGGUGAUACUGGCAGACUAGAGUACUGGAGAGAAAGGUAGAAUUCUCGGAGUAGCGGUAAAAUGCGUAGAUCUCGAGAGGAAUACCGGUUGCGAAGGCGGCCUUUUGGCCAGGUAACUGACGCUUAAGCGCGAAAGCGUGGGGAGCAAACAGG